CCUCCUUUUCUUGGCGGGGGCUGGACAUGUAGUCCUGGUUCCCGUUAUGUACGGAGGCAGAGAGAGCGGACUCCAGUGCCCUGACCGUCAUGUCUUUGAUGCCGACGGCUGCCCAUCUGCUGGUUCUAUCCUCAAACACCGGGACAAGG